GCCGAAAAAACACUUGUUCAUAACAUUUGUUCACACAAACGAAUUAACACCUGUUCGUGGCAACACUUGUUCAUAACAACCGAAAUAAGAGAGAUUACAUGACAACCGAGAUAACAGAGAUUACGGCCCUGUUUGGUUAACUUUUAGGACUUUUUUUAAUCCCCUCAGCGUGGGCGUCCCUGGCGGAUGCACUCGCGGAUCAUCCGCCGGAUCCGCUCCCUUGAGCUCUCCGAAGGCGAAGGCAGGGGGAGAUGGGAAUGGGAGGUCGGUCCUAUGGUACGCGGCGAGGGACGAGGGCCUCAAGGCGCCGCUGCGGUGGGAGAAGAAAGCGCGGAAGUAGACACCCGGGGAGCACCUGCUCGACCCCGCCGAGCUGGAGCGGCUGCGGCAGGCGGGAUGGAGGACGGGUCGGUGCGGGCCAAGUAGGCCGGGGUGACGACGAGGUGAUGGAGGGUGUGUGCAGGGUGUGGUCCGGCUGCCAGGAUCUUGCCGCCUGCUGAGUCGUCGAGCCGCAGGGUGGGGUGACGGAAGCCACGACAUUCCCGCAGCAGCCGGCGGUGGCCGCCUCCGGUAGGCGGCACACGGGCCCUCCUACCGGCGUCGCAGUCGGCAAGCGAGCCUGCGAAGUGGCAUGGUGGAGCGGACCCGGCAUUGCAUUCAUCAGGGCCUCCCUUAGGUGGUAUCAUGUGAGGUACAAGGCUGAGGAGACUGUCAAGGAUUUGAUCGCCAAGACUCCCGAGUUCAGUGACCAGCUCUUGAUGAAUAUCCUUCAGUACACCUGUAAGUUCUAUAGCAAAUGGUUGUAAGCAGUCUCAGUUCAACUAACAGUAUUUGAUGGAUACCAAGUACUACUACCGAUCAUCCGUGUAAACUAUCCCAACUCUAUAUUAGUUCUAGCAAAUAUUCUGAUAGAAAAUAAUCGAUUUCAGAAAAAAAAAACUGCAAAACUUGUAAGUUUAUGCAAUUAUGUUGUUUUAAUCUUUGCACUAAGAAUUUCCAUGCCUAUAUUUUUUUAGGUAUUCUUAGCAAUUCGGAUUGUACACUGAAAUUUAGGUGCUUUCCGAGAGUUUACUGUACAAUAAAAUGAUCUACCUUGCAAUAUCAUUUUUUAUCACAAAUGAAGAAAUUCAGAGCAUCUAAGUCUUAAAUUUAUCUGCUAAAAUAUUGAUAUUUAUACUUCAUGUUUGGGGUUCUAUUCAUGAGCACUAGGCACUUCUCGACACUGCCACAAUUAUUCUAGAACCUCUUUAAAUUUGCAAUGCUCAUCAGACCAUGUCACGUGUCCAGUAUAGGUUUUCCAGUCAACUAUUCAAAUUAUCGACUAGGGACGAUAUUUUCAGUCCUACUGAGUUUGCAAAGGAUGCGCCAAGCCAAGAUUAAUUAUGAUUUUUGUAAAUUGCAUCGGUUUACUUAUGUACCUGCUCCUUAGAUGAUAGUGAUUCAGUCAUGGAAA